UACGUAGGGGGCAAGCGUUGUCCGGAAUUACUGGGCGUAAAGCGCACGUAGGCGGAUUUGUAAGUCAGGGGUGAAAUCCCGGGGCUCAACCUCGGAACUGCCUUUGAUACUGCAAAUCUCGAGUCCGGAAGAGGUAUGUGGAACUCCGAGUGUAGAGGUGAAAUUCGUAGAUAUUCGGAAGAACACCAGUGGCGAAGGCGACAUACUGGUCCGUUACUGACGCUGAGGCUCGAAAGCGUGGGGAGCAAACAGG
rnacentral:rRNA from 1 species